rnacentral:rRNA from 1 species
ACGCUCGACACCUACGGGAGGCAGCAGUUGGGAAUAUUGGACAAUGGAGGAAACUCUGAUCCAGUGACGCCGCGUGAUGGAAGAAGGUCUUCGGAUUGUAAACUUAUUUUGUCAGGGAAGAAAAAUGACUGUACCUGAAGAAAAAGCACCGGCUAACUACGUGCCAACAGCCGCGGUAAUCUGAGCGGGCUGGCAAGGC